CCUACGGGAGGCAGCAGUGAGGAAUAUUGGUCAAUGGACGAGAGUCUGAACCAGCCAAGUAGCGUGAAGGAUGACUGCCCUAUGGGUUGUAAACUUCUUUUAUAUGGGAAUAAAACGUUCCACGUGUGGGAUUUUGUAUGUACCAUAUGAAUAAGGAUCGGCUAACUCCGUGCCAGCAGCCGCGGUAAUACGGAGGAUCCGAGCGUUUUCCGGUUUUAUUGGGUUUAAAGGGUGCGUAGGUGGAUUGUUAAGUCAGUUGUGAAAGUUUGGGGCUAAACCGUAAAAUUGCAGUUGAAACUGGCAGUCUUGAGGACAGUAGAGGUGGGCGGAAGUCGUGGUGUAGCGGAGAAAUGCUUAGAUAUCACGAAGAACUCCGAUUGCGAAGGCAGUUCACUGGACUGCAACUGACACUGAGGCUCGAAAGUGUGGGUAUCAAACAGGAUUAGAUACCCUAGUAGUC
rnacentral:rRNA from 1 species